AACACUGUUAACCUGCGGUACCUGCGGAGGGAUCAUUAACAAAUCAUACUGUAUGGGUGAUGGUAAGGGGUGGUGGUGACUUCACCACCAUCCUCCUCACACAUAUCAUUAACCCUACCCGGGCGGACGCGUACGUGCGCGCUUGCCUGGGCUGGUCCCCACUGGGAGAGGAAGAGGGGGGUCGGCUCGAUUUGAUUUGGGUCGGCUCGCUUGUGGUGCUCCUGGUGAAUAUAGACGCUU
rnacentral:misc_RNA from 1 species